rnacentral:rRNA from 1 species
UGCCAGCCGCCGCGGUAAUACGGAGGAUGCAAGCGUUAUCCGGAUUUAUUGGGUUUAAAGGGUGCGCAGGCGGAACUUUAAGUCAGUGGUGAAAUCUUGCGGCUUAACCGUAAAAUUGCCAUUGAAACUGAAGUUCUUGAGUUCAGUUGAGGUAGGCGGAAUGUGUUAUGUAGCGGUGAAAUGCUUAGAUAUAACACAGAACACCAAUUGCGUAGGCAGCUUACUAAACUGUUACUGACGCCGAGGCACGAAAGCGUGGGGAGCGAACAGGAUUAGAUA